rnacentral:rRNA from 1 species
UGAGCAACCUGCCCCUCACUCUGGGAUAAGCGCUGGAAACGGCGUCUAAUACUGGAUACGAGUUGGAGCCGCAUGGUUACCAACUGGAAAGAUUUUUUGGUGGGGGAUGGGCUCGCGGCCUAUCAGCUUGUUGGUGAGGUAAUGGCUCACCAAGGCGUCGACGGGUAGCCGGCCUGAGAGGGUGACCGGCCACACUGGGACUGAGACACGGCCCAGACUCCUACGGGAGGCAGCAGUGGGGAAUAUUGCACAAUGGGCGGAAGCCUGAUGCAGCAACGCCGCGUGAGGGAUGACGGCCUUCGGGUUGUAAACCUCUUUUAGCAGGGAAGAAGCGAAAGUGACGGUACCUGCAGAAAAAGCACCGGCUAACUACGUGCCAGCAGCCGCGGUAAUACGUAGGGUGCAAGCGUUAUCCGGAAUUAUUGGGCGUAAAGAGCUCGUAGGCGGUUUGUCGCGUCUGCUGUGAAAUCCCGAGGCUCAACCUCGGGCCUGCAGUGGGUACGGGCAGACUAGAGUGCGGUAGGGGAGAUUGGAAUUCCUGGUGUAGCGGUGGAAUGCGCAGAUAUCAGGAGGAACACCGAUGGCGAAGGCAGAUCUCUGGGCCGUAACUGACGCUGAGGAGCGAAAGGGUGGGGAGCAAACAGGCUUAGAUACCCUGGUAGUCCACCCCGUAAACGUUGGGAACUAGUUGUGGGGUCCUUUCCACGGAUUCCGUGACGCAGCUAACGCAUUAAGUUCCCCGCCUGGGGAGUACGGCCGCAAGGCUAAAACUCAAAGGAAUUGACGGGGACCCGCACAAGCGGCGGAGCAUGCGGAUUAAUUCGAUGCAACGCGAAGAACCUUACCAAGGCUUGACAUACACCAGAACACCGUAGAAAUACGGGACUCUUUGGACACUGGUGAACAGGUGGUGCAUGGUUGUCGUCAGCUCGUGUCGUGAGAUGUUGGGUUAAGUCCCGCAACGAGCGCAACCCUCGUUCUAUGUUGCCAGCACGUAAUGGUGGGAACUCAUGGGAUACUGCCGGGGUCAACUCGGAGGAAGGUGGGGAUGACGUCAAAUCAUCAUGCCCCUUAUGUCUUGGGCUUCACGCAUGCUACAAUGGCCGGUACAAAGGGCUGCAAUACCGUGAGGUGGAGCGAAUCCCAAAAAGCCGGUCCCAGUUCGGAUUGAGGUCUGCAACUCGACCUCAUGAAGUCGGAGUCGCUAGUAAUCGCAGAUCAGCAACGCUGCGGUGAAUACGUUCCCGGGUCUUGUACACACCG